UACGUAGGGUGCAGGCGUUAAUCGGAAUUACUGGGCGUAAAGCGUGCGCAGGCGGUGAUGUAAGACAGGUGUGAAAUCCCCGGGCUUAACCUGGGAACUGCAUUUGUGACUGCAUAGCUAGAGUACGGUAGAGGGGGAUGGAAUUCCGCGUGUAGCAGUGAAAUGCGUAGAUAUGCGGAGGAACACCGAUGGCGAAGGCAAUCCCCUGGACCUGUACUGACGCUCAUGCACGAAAAGCGUGGGGGAGCAAACAGG
rnacentral:rRNA from 1 species